UUAAAAAUAAGCUAAAAUAAAAGCUUUUGGGGUCCAUACCCCAAUAUAAAGAAUUCCUUUUUUUAAA
rnacentral:tRNA from 1 species